rnacentral:rRNA from 1 species
ACGAACGCUGGCGGCGUGCCUAAUACAUGCAAGUAGAACGCUGAAGGCGGAGCUUGCUCUUCUGGAUGAGUUGCGAACGGGUGAGUAACGCGUAGGUAACCUGCCUGGUAGCGGGGGAUAACUAUUGGAAACGAUAGCUAAUACCGCAUAACAGUAGAUGUUGCAUGACAUUUACUUAAAAGGUGCAAUUGCAUCACUACCAGAUGGACCUGCGUUGUAUUAGCUAGUUGGUGGGGUAACGGCUCACCAAGGCGACGAUACAUAGCCGACCUGAGAGGGUGAUCGGCCACACUGGGACUGAGACACGGCCCAGACUCCUACGGGAGGCAGCAGUAGGGAAUCUUCGGCAAUGGACGGAAGUCUGACCGAGCAACGCCGCGUGAGUGAAGAAGGUUUUCGGAUCGUAAAGCUCUGUUGUAAGAGAAGAACGAGUGUGAGAGUGGAAAGUUCACACUGUGACGGUAUCUUACCAGAAAGGGACGGCUAACUACGUG